rnacentral:rRNA from 1 species
GAUGAACGCUGGCGGCAUGCCUAACACAUGCAAGUCGAGCGGCAGCAUGCUCACUGAAUCUUUCACGCGUUUGGAAGGUUUUGUGAGUGAUGGCGAGCGGCGGACGGCUGAGUAACGCGUGGGAAUCCACCCCAAAGCGAGGGAUAACGCACCGAAAGGUGUGCUAAUACCGCAUAUGGUCUUCGGAUUAAAGUUUUAACGCUUUGGGAGGAGCCCGCGUCGGAUUAGAUAGUUGGUGAGGUAAUGGCUCACCAAGUCGACGAUCCGUAGCUGGUCUGAGAGGAUGAUCAGCCAGACUGGAACUGAGAUACGGUCCAGACUCCUACGGGAGGCAGCAGUGAGGAAUAUUCCACAAUGGGCGAAAGCCUGAUGGAGCAAUGCCGCGUGCAGGAUGAAGGCCUUGGUUGUAACUGCUUUAUAUGAGAAGACUAUGACGGUAACAUAUGAAUAAGGACCGGCGUAACUACGUGCCACG